UACGAAGGGGGCUAGCGUUGCUCGGAUUCACUGGGCGUAAAGGGCGCGUAGGCGGUUCGUACAGUCAGACGUGAAAUUCCUGGGCUCAACCUGGGGGCUGCGUUUGAUACGGGCGGACUUGAGUGCGGAAGAGGGUCGUGGAAUUCCCAGUGUAGAGGUGAAAUUCGUAGAUAUUGGGAAGAACACCGGUGGCGAAGGCGGCGACCUGGUCCGAUACUGACGCUGAGGCGCGAAAGCGUGGGGAGCAAACAGG
rnacentral:rRNA from 1 species